rnacentral:lncRNA from 1 species
GCGCUAUUUCCAUGAUGCGCUACUGUUGCGAUAGGCAUAGUGGAAGCGUCUUGAGUUCUGUAUGCUUUCCUACGCCCGUGGAAGCAAUAACUCUGCUGCUUGUUCUUAUCAUUGUCUGAACACAUUUUGAGCAUUAUUUCUCUGGACAGUCGUUUCAAUGAGGGGUCUACAUCCAUUUCCCACUCCAACAAAGUUCUGACAUCCCCACUGACCCUGGUCCAUGUGUACGAGCUCCUCUCUGCUUGAGUGACACGGGACAGCACUGUUGGAGGGGUCAGGAGAAGUCACAUUUUCACAUGGCCCAUAGCUGGACCCCCUGGGAUUUCUCCAUGCGCCUGUUCUCUGCAAUCUGUUC